AAGACCUUGCACUUUUGGAGCGGCCGAUGUCUGAUUAGCUAGUUGGUGGGGUAAUGGCCUACCAAAGCUUCGAUCAGUAGCUGGUCUGAGAGGACGGCCAGCCACACUGGGACUGAGACACGGCCCAGACUCCUACGGGAGGCAGCAGUGGGGAAUUUUGGACAAUGGGCGCAAGCCUGAUCCAGCCAUGCCGCGUGAGUGAAGAAGGCCUUCGGGUUGUAAAGCUCUUUCAGCCGGGAAGAAAAGGUUGCGACUAAUAAUCGCAAUCCAUGACGGUACCGAAAGAAGAAGCACCGGCUAACUACGUGCCAGCAGCCGCGGUAAUACGUAGGGUGCGAGCGUUAAUCGGAAUUACUGGGCGUAAAGGGUGCGCAGGCGGUUUUGUAAGUCAGAUGUGAAKUCCCCGGGCUUAACCUGGGAACU
rnacentral:rRNA from 1 species